GCUUCCUUAGCUCAGUCGGUAGAGCGCGAGUCUCAUAGCUUGUUAUGAGCGGUAUUUGCGACUGUUUAAUCUCGAGGUCGCAAGUUCGAGCCUUGCAGGGAGCA